rnacentral:lncRNA from 1 species
AUGCAACUACCAAGUACAUACCAGACAUUCUGGACAAGUCCUCCUAUCUCUGAAACUGGGCCAUGUGGAUCUGAAAUGAAGGGGGAAUAUUGCCAUCUCAUCCAAAGAUGGAAAAGCCUGGAAAAUUUGCCCGAGGCCGGGAGUGACUCCAGCCACCAAGCAUCUCCAUCUCCCAGUGUCCAAUUUUUUGCGCCCUCUGGGGAGAUGGGAACAUGCAGAUGGAAUUUGGGGCCUGUGUCCUCAGUGCCUUUUCUUCAGUGCUCCUAGGGGGAUGUCACGUCCCCUUGUUCAGUGAGCAGUGAGGACUGGUCUGUAGCCAGAUGAAGACAGUUUUGGGAGCUCCUGGUUUCCAUGGAUCCAGAGAAAUACAUAGGCUUGAGGCUAUGAGGAAGAGUUUCCUUUGAUUUCUACUUUGAUCAUGGUGUCAACUGUUAGGGUUUGCUGGGGCCUGGGAUGGGGAUGGGGUGGUGCUUCCCAAGAUGUGAGGCUUUCAGUACUAAAACCAGGAAAGUUCUGGCAAAUUAGAACAAAUUUGUCGCCUUCCCUUUAGUGUCCCUUGACUUUGGUAAGUCAGACCUUAAGAUGUAGCCAGAGCUUUGGUUGGAAUGGGAAGGUAGCUCCUUUCUACGCGGCUCCUGCAGGGCCUCCGCCUCUCUGGAAGGCAGGUUCCCCAUCUGCCCCCACCAUCAUGAGAGGGGAUGUGUGCUCAUGAGUCACCCCCACCCCCACCCUGAGCUUCCCAAGCAUGCAAUGCCUGCUCCUUUUGCUGAGGGCUGCCAGCUGUGGGGCACUGAUAGGCUCGUAGCCCACCCGAAGAGGUAGCAAAUCCACAUUUGUGUGCAAAGACAGUGUGACCCUGCUGAUGGGGGGGCAGAUUCUGAAGCAGGGUGUCAACAUAGCUGAAACUCUGAUGAUUUGAAGCAGUUUCGAGCUGAUGGCAGCUUUUGGAUUUGUCUCUUGGGGGUGUGUGUGUGUGUGUGUGUGUGUGGAUUUGUCUCUUGGGAGGUGUGUGUGGGGGGGAUAAAAACUCAGAACACUGUGGUGAGCCCUUUGGUUAUAAGGCUAGAUUCUGUUUCACCUUGAUUAAGCAUGUGAAUUCUGGAGCCAGAUUACUGGGGUUAAGGUUCCAGCAGCCUGUUCUAAUUUGACCUAAGGUAAGUAAUGAAACCUCUCUGAGCCUCAGUUUCCUAGUCUAUAAAAUGGGCACAUUGAUAGGGUGGCUGAGGACUAAAUUAAUGAAGGCACAGGGAGAACUUAGAAUAGGGCCUGCUGCAUCAUUAUUCCUCAAAAAAUAUUUUCUGUGUAACUGGACUGAAAGGGCUGAAUCAAACGUUCAACAGUUUUGUGUGCUGGCGUAUAGUGUGGUCUUGGUGGUCACUUGAGUUGUGUACCAGUGGUGAGCUCUGCACUGUAAUCCCUGCUGGUUGUCACCUCUGUCAACUGUUCUCACAGCAUCUCACUGCAUCCCCUGUUUUCUCCUGCUGCCUGGUCACUGCCUCCCAGGCUGCUGUGGACACACUGCACUUCCUACCUUGAGUCAAGACCUAAGUUAAGCUGUGGAGUUUGACAAAGUUUUACCAAAGGCCAGGGCUUACAGGGGAUCUGUGCAGAAAAGAUCACUGACCCUUGGUGUGUGGACAUGAAAAUUCCAGAAUUUCAAUGGCGAAGCCUCUCCACAGAGAUUGUUCUCCUGCCUACCAUGCUGCAAGACAGGCUCACCUCCUCCCAGAAAGGGGCUUCGACCAUACCCUCUAACCCCAAGUCUGGACCCCAACAACAUUCUUGAGGCCCCAGCAGGAAGCAACUUGCAUGCUUUCAUCCACUCACUGCAACAAGCGUCUGCAGAUAUACAACCUCUUUGGAUGCUUCUUUGGACAAUAUGUUGAAUUUUAGCUCCUGUAUUAUUUUUGAUAUAAUGCUACUUUUACUUAAAACAUCUUACCAAAUUAACCCUGAGCAAAUAAAUUUAAUAGUGGAUGUUUUUGAAAUCAUAACUUUGGCUUGAAUUCUACAAUUUAUAUCUUUAUUAAUAUAGCAACAUUUCUAAAAAAAGAAUUGCUUAGACUUUCUCAUUGAGUUUUUAGUGCCAUAAUGGCAUAAACUCAACUUCCCAUCAUGCAUUUGACAAUGUUUCAAAUUUAUGUUUGGUAAAUGUGUUUUUAAUACACAAGGUUUCAGUGAAGCUGAAGAGCAGUUGUAUAGAUCCUGGAUGGUAUUAAAAAAAAUCAGUUGUGUCAGAAGAGAUUUUUAUUGCACCACUUACUACCAAGAUUAAAAUAUUCAUGCAAGGAACAGAAAAUGCCCUAGAAUUAUUUCUUAGAAUCAUCAGUUUCAAUCUGUCGUGUUUUCCAUGCAUAUCUGCCAUAUUGUGAUACCCGUGGAUCAUUAUUUUAUCCUUGAUUCUUUUUGUAAGUGGCCUGUUGACACUAUUUAUAACCCUUCUUCAGUUUUGUCAUCUACUGGAAAAAAUUCCCCAAACAUGUUUAUAUAUAGAAAUACUUGCAUUUUAGGAAUCUACAAUUCUAACAAAAUUGUUAUCUAUUCUAUUUUCAUCAGGGGUGUGUCUCAAAUACAACGUCAGGUUUCUAGCCAAAAUAAUUAACAAUAUUUAGCCCUUCUUACCUUAUUCAGACUGAUUUCAUUCAUUGAAUCUGCCAUAAUUUUAAUAAUUUAUUUUUGUAUUUCAUCCCCUAAAUAGGUGCAAUAUUAUUUGGUGUUGAUUUUUAUAUUAUGCCUAAACGUUCUAUCAUAAUAUUAUCAAAUUUUCCUCUGACUUCGGCCAAAUGGAUAAAAUUCUCCUUAUCAUGUUCAUACUCACAAUGUUUCUUGGAUGUGCCUCUGAACACUAGAACUUGCCUGCCAAAAAUUAAACCAUGUAUAAUCUGCAUACAACAGCACAAUAAUUUUUUUCCCAUUUUUGUAACUUACUUGUAGCAUCAAUAGUUUAUUUUUAAUUUUAAUCAGAUUUUAAAAAUUUCAGUCCUUCAAUAUUAUCAGUCAGACUAGGUCAGGGAAUGCUUUGGGAACAAGCAAUGCCAAGACUUUGGUGGCUUGACAUAACCGAC